rnacentral:tRNA from 1 species
GCCUGGCUGGCUCAGUCGGUAGAGCAUGUGACUGUUAAUCUCAGGGUCAUGAGUUCAAGCCCCACACUGGGGG